rnacentral:rRNA from 2 species
UACAGAGGUGGCAAGCGUUGCUCGGUAUCACUGGGCUUAAAGGGCGCGUAGGCGGUGCGGUACGGUUUCGGUGAAAUCCCUCGGCCCAACCGAGGAACAGCCGGGGCUACGGCCGCGCUAGACGGCAUCAGGGGACAGUGGAACUCCCGGUGGAGCGGUGAAAUGCGUAGAUAUCGGGAGGAACGCCGGUGGCGAAAGCGACUGUCUGGGGUGCCUGUGACGCUGAGGCGCGAAAGCCAGGGGAUCAAACGGG